UGGUAAUCAGACCCAACCAAACCCUGCUCCUUGUCUGGCAUUGUGCCUAUUGUUAACCCUGGCUCUCCAUCUUCUUUCAAGGUUGCUGUUUGCUGAAUCCAGCUCUGGAAAAACCCUCUGUGGCCCUGGUUUGUCCGUGUUGGUAACAGCAGAACCCGCUUCCUGGUAACCCCACUGUGGUCCUGUGGGGGUUUUGGGUGCCUGGUGUUGCCGUUUCCUCCUGUGACCACUAGAGGCCGUUGGGAACAUGAUGAGUCGGCCAGUGACAGGUGCUCCUCAUCCAGAGCUCGUUAGGGCUCACCUGGAAGGAGUAUUUAGGAGCCAGUCCUUGUUCGGCUGAGUGUUUACAAUUGUGAUUCAGUAACUGUAAGGUGUGGGCGGAUCCGGGACUUGCUCAAGACCAAAUCCAUGAAGACCUAAAAAUCAACAGCUUGACCAUUUGGUUUCAAGUAUCUGUCUGGCGGACUGGCUCUGGACCUCUGCACGCCCCUGACACCUGAGGAUGAAAGCCCGUCUUUGCCGCUGGCUGGCGGGGGGUAACGCCUCUGAACUUCUCAGACCCUUCCAUGGACACUAGCACCCAAGGGCCCUACUGGAUUACCUCCCACAACCUCUGAACUUCUAGAACAAACACCUGGUGCCCAAGGCUGUGAUUUUGACCGGCCCUGACUGGUAUUUAUAACCGAGCUGCAGCAUUUGCUCCUCGCUUCACCUGCCCUGCCUGUCCACCCUCCAAUGUCAACAACCAUCUGUGGAAAUCUGCUCGCACAGUUCACUCACCUGCCAAUCCUCUCCCUCCUGGAACCAUCAUCCAAUUCCACAAGUAAGAUCAGUAUUCACAGAACUUCUCCUCACCUACUUCUAACACCUCUCUCCCUCAUAGUGAGCUGAUCCCUGCCACCAGACAAGCACGGACUCCUGACCUUGCCAAUAACAUAAUUGCAAUAAACCUGUUUAAAUCUU